UACGUAGGUGGCAAGCGUUGUCCGGAUUUACUGGGCGUAAAGAGCGCGCAGGCGGUCGUUCAAGUCGCGUGUGAAAGCCCCCGGCUCAACUGGGGAGGGUCACGCGAUACUGAUCGACUCGAAGGCAGGAGAGGGUAGUGGAAUUCUCGGUGUAGCGGUGAAAUGCGUAGAUAUCGAGAGGAACACCUGCGGCGAAGGCGGGUUGCUGGGCCGACACUGACGCUGAUGCGCGAAAGCCAGGGGAGCGAACGGG
rnacentral:rRNA from 1 species